CUGAACCAGCCAAGUAGCGUGAAGGAUGACUGCCCUAUGGGUUGUAAACUUCUUUUAUACGGGAAUAAAGUGAGGCACGUGUGCCUUUUUGUAUGUACCGUAUGAAUAAGGAUCGGCUAACUCCGUGCCAGCAGCCGCGGUAAUACGGAGGAUCCGAGCGUUAUCCGGAUUUAUUGGGUUUAAAGGGAGCGUAGGCGGAUGCUUAAGUCAGUUGUGAAAGUUUGCGG
rnacentral:rRNA from 1 species